rnacentral:misc_RNA from 1 species
GUUGGGUGUAAGCUCAGGUGGUGGUAUUCCUACACCAAACUGGGAUGCUUUAGCUGAUAUUGAUGCAGUUGGAGGGGUGACAAGAGCUGACGUGGUACCUAGAAUAGUAGAUCGGUUAACAUCAGAGGCCUUAAAUGAAGAUGUUGAGUUUCAUGCACGACGUCUUCAAGCACUAAAGGCUCUUACAUAUGCACCUUCUAGCAGCCCUGAGAUAACACAGAAGUUGUAUGAAAUCGUGUUUGGCAUUCUAGAUAAGGUUGCUGAUACACCACAAAAACGCAAGAAGGGCAUCCUUGGGACCAAAGGAGUUGAUAAGGAGUCUACGAUUCGGAGUAAUUUGCAAUAUGCUGCAUUGAGUGCGUUGAGAAGACUUCCCUUGGAUCCAGGGAAUCCAGCUUUCCUUCAUCGUGCUGUACAAGGAGUCUCAUUUGCUGAUCCAGUUGCUGUGAGGCAUUCUUUAGAAAUUCUCUCCGAUUUAGCCACAAGUGAUCCAUAUGCAGUUGCAAUGGCAUUAGGGAAGCUUGUGCAGCCCGGUGGGGCUCUACAAGAUGUACUCCAUAUGCAUGAUGUUCUUGCUAGAGUUGCACUUGCCAGGUUGUGCCACAGUAUAUCCCGAGCUCGGUCACUAGAAGAAAGGCCAGACAUUAAGACUCAGUUCAAUUCAGUGCUGUAUCAGCUACUUCUUGAUCCUAGUGAAAGAGUUUGUUUUGAGGCUAUCCUUUGUGUGCUGGGUAAAGUUGAUAAUGCUGAGAGGACUGAGGAACGAGCUGCUGGAUGGUACAGACUGACCAGAGAAAUUCUCAAGCUUCCAGAAGCACCUUCAGCUAAAGACUCAAAUUCCGAAUCAAAGGAUGGAGCUCCUUCAAAGUCCUCCAAAGACAAGUCUUCAAAGACAAGGCGUCCUCAACCUUUGAUCAAACUUGUGAUGAGGAGGUUAGAGAGUUCUUUCCGCAGUUUCUCUCGACCUGUACUUCAUUCAGCCGCACGGGUGGUGCAAGAAAUGGGAAAAAGUCGUGCAGCAGCUUUCGCUUUGGGCUUACAAGAUAUUGAUGAAGGAGCUUAUGUUAAAACAGUUCCAGAAAAUAAUGACUCAUAUGAUCAGGAUCAUAAUGAAACCUCUCACCCUGAAGGUAUACGUCGAGUUUCCUCAUUAUCUAAUACCAAUGCUGCCAAGGACACGAUUGCAAGUUUAUUGGCCUCCUUAAUGGAGGUGGU